rnacentral:lncRNA from 1 species
UACGUGAAAACGCAUAAAAUGCCCCCAGCAAUACGACCUAUGGUCAAUAAAAAAUCCCCAUCACUGUAUAACUUAGAAAAAGUUAUAGCCAAAUGGGCCGCCAGCCAUCUUAAAGGAUAUGCAUACACUAUAGAAUCAUCAAUCGAAUUCAUGGAUCAGCUCUUAGCGGUACAGCCAUGCCCUAAUGAAUCAUAUUCUGUUAUGGGCUUUGACUCGCUAUACCCUUCAAUUGAGCAAAUACCAGCAGUCUUAAUGCUAUAUAGGUUCUUUCUCCAGUAUGUCCCAUCCUCCCCCAAAAGCCAAAGCU